rnacentral:rRNA from 1 species
ACGGGUGAGUAACACGUGGGCAAUCUGCCCUGCACUCUGGGACAAGCCCUGGAAACGGGGUCUAAUACCGGAUAUGACUGUCCAUCGCAUGGUGGAUGGUGUAAAGCUCCGGCGGUGCAGGAUGAGCCCGCGGCCUAUCAGCUUGUUGGUGAGGUAGUGGCUCACCAAGGCGACGACGGGUAGCCGGCCUGAGAGGGCGACCGGCCACACUGGGACUGAGACACGGCCCAGACUCCUACGGGAGGCAGCAGUGGGGAAUAUUGCACAAUGGGCGAAAGCCUGAUGCAGCGACGCCGCGUGAGGGAUGACGGCCUUCGGGUUGUAAACCUCUUUCAGCAGGGAAGAAGCGAAAGUGACGGUACCUGCAGAAGAAGCGCCGGCUAACUACGUGCCAGCAGCCGCGGUAAUACGUAGGGCGCAAGCGUUGUCCGGAAUUAUUGGGCGUAAAGAGCUCGUAGGCGGCUUGUCACGUCGGUUGUGAAAGCCCGGGGCUUAACCCCGGGUCUGCAGUCGAUACGGGCAGGCUAGAGUUCGGUAGGGGAGAUCGGAAUUCCUGGUGUAGCGGUGAAAUGCGCAGAUAUCAGGAGGAACACCGGUGGCGAAGGCGGAUCUCUGGGCCGAUACUGACGCUGAGGAGCGAAAGCGUGGGGAGCGAACAGGAUUAGAUACCCUGGUAGUCCACGCCGUAAAACGGUGGGCACUAGGUGUGGGCAACAUUCCACGUUGUCCGUGCCGCAGCUAACGCAUUAAGUGCCCCGCCUGGGGAGUACGGCCGCAAGGCUAAAACUCAAAGGAAUUG